rnacentral:lncRNA from 1 species
UGGCACUAUUGACCAUUUUACAAUUAUUUCAAAUGGAUGAGAAACAAAUAUUGAUAUGUGGGAAAAAUCAUAAAAGUACCAACAAUAUAAUUGAACAUGCAUUUAUAUUCUUAGAAGUAUAAUGGAAUUCUUUUUUAACUUAAUUGUUACUUAUACCCACAAUAACAUCUUAAAUUUAUGCACCUUGCAACUAGAGGAGGGUUACAUGUAUGAGUAGUACAAUCUCUAGUAGAUACACAAGGAUUACUUGCUGUUAUACGAAAUAAGAAAAAAUAAAUGUUAAUAAUAAGGAAUGAACAUUGUGUAAUAGAAGGAGUAAAUUUUAAAGAAAAAAUAUAAAAGAGCAUAAGGGUUUACCACCGUUGGUUACAAUGAUAAAAAUGAGAAAAAUAAUCAUAAUAUGAAUAAACUUGAGAAUUUUAAC